AGUGAACGCUGGCGGUAGGCCUAACACAUGCAAGUCGAACGGCAGCACAGUAAGAGCUUGCUCUUACGGGUGGCGAGUGGCGGACGGGUGAGGAGUACAUCGGAAUCUACUUUUUCGUGGGGGAUAACGUAGGGAAACUGACGCUAAUACCGCAUACGACCUACGGGUGAAAGCAGGGGAUCUUCGGACCUUGCGCGAUUGAAUGAGCCGAUUCCGGAUUAGCUAGUUGGUGGGGUAAAGGCCCACCAAGGCGACGAUCCGUAGCUGGUCUGAGAGGAUGAUCGGCCACACUGGAACUGAGACACGGUCCAGACUCCUACGGGAGGCAGCAGUGGGGAAUAUUGGGCAAUGGGCGCAAGCCUGAUCCAGCAAUGCCGCGUGGGUGAAGAAGGCCUUCGGGUUGUAAAGCCCUUUUGUUGGGAAAGAAAAACAGUGGGUUAAUACCCGGCUGUUCUGACGGUACCCAAAGAAUAAGCACCGGCUAACUUCGUG
rnacentral:rRNA from 1 species